UGUGGCUUAGUUGGUUAAAGCGCCGGUCUAGCGAAUACGGAGUCGUGGGUUCGAAUCCCUCCA
rnacentral:tRNA from 1 species